rnacentral:rRNA from 1 species
GACGAACGCUGGCGGCGUGCUUAACACAUGCAAGUCGAACGGAAAGGCCCUGCUUUUGUGGGGUGCUCGAGUGGCGAACGGGGGAGUAACACGUGAGUAACAUGCCCUUGACUUUGGGAUAACUUCAGGAAACUGGGGCUAAUACCGGAUAGGAGCUCCUGCUGCAUGGUGGGGGUUGGAAAGUUUCGGCGGUUGGGGAUGGACUCGCGGCUUAUCAGCUUGUUGGUGGGGUAGUGGCUUACCAAGGCUUUGACGGGUAGCCGGCCUGAGAGGGUGACCGGCCACAUUGGGACUGAGAUACGGCCCAGACUCCUACGGGAGGCAGCAGUGGGGAAUAUUGCACAAUGGGCGGAAGCCUGAUGCAGCAACGCCGCGUGCGGGAUGACGGCCUUCGGGUUGUAAACCGCUUUCGCCUGUGACGAAGCGUGAGUGACGGUAAUGGGUAAAGAAGCACCGGCUAACUACGUG